GGGCCCAUAGCUCAGCGGCAGAGCAGGGGACUUUUAAUCCUCGUGUCCUGGGUUCGAAUCCCAGUGGGCCCUCCA
rnacentral:tRNA from 1 species